rnacentral:rRNA from 1 species
UGGGGAAUUUUGGACAAUGGGCGAAAGCCUGAUCCAGCAAUGCCGCGUGUGUGAAGAAGGCCUUCGGGUUGUAAAGCACUUUUGUCCGGAAAGAAAUCCUUGGCUCUAAUACAGUCGGGGGAUGACGGUACCGGAAGAAUAAGCACCGGCUAACUACGUGCCAGCAGCCGCGGUAAUACGUAGGGUGCAAGCGUUAAUCGGAAUUACUGGGCGUAAAGCGUGCGCAGGCGGUUUGCUAAGACCGAUGUGAAAUCCCCGGGCUCAACCUGGGAACUGCAUUGGUGACUGGCAGGCUAGAGUAUGGCAGAGGGGGGUAGAAUUCCACGUGUAGCAGUGAAAUGCGUAGAGAUGUGGAGGAAUACCGAUGGCGAAGGCAGCCCCCUGGGCCAAUACUGACGCUCAUGCACGAAAGCGUGGGGAGCAAACAGGAUUAGAUACCCUGGUAGUCCACGCCCUAAAACGAUGUCAACUAGUUGUUGGGGAUUCAUUUCCUUAGUAACGUAGCUAACGCGUGAAGUUAACCGCCUGGGGAGUACGGUCGCAAGAUUAAAACUCAAAGGAAUUGACGGGGUCAUAGCUGUUUCUU